rnacentral:rRNA from 1 species
UGCGUAGGGCGCAAGCGUUGUCCGGAAUUAUUGGGCGUAAAGAGCUCGUAGGCGGCUUGUCACGUCGGGUGUGAAAGACCGGGGCUUAACCCCGGUUCUGCAUUCGAUACGGGCUAGCUAGAGUGUGGUAGGGGAGAUCGGAAUUCCUGGUGUAGCGGUGAAAUGCGCAGAUAUCAGGAGGAACACCGGUGGCGAAGGCGGAUCUCUGGGCCAUUACUGACGCUGAGGAGCGAAAGCGUGGGGAGCGAACGGG